AUGCUUGAUUCACUUAUUAGCCAUGACCCGAAGGUGUUGACUGAGAAGAAGCCUGAUGAGAUAAUUGUGUCUGGUGUUGUUGAAAGUCUGCAGAAUUUUCUACGCAAGUGCAUCAUAGCUGUCCUCUCAUACGGCCCGAUGCCUAAACACAUCGCGUUUAUUAUGGACGGGAACCGCAGAUACGCCAAGUCCAGAAGUAUCAAGGAAGGCACCGGUCACAGCGUGGGCUUCUCUGCUCUAAUGGCAAGUCUUAUCUACUGUUACGAGAUGGGUGUCAAGUACAUCACGGUGUAUGCAUUCAGCAUCGACAAUUUCAAACGCGACCCUAGUGAGGUCAAGACCUUGAUGGAAUUAAUGGAGGAAAAGAUCAACGAGCUGUUGGAAAACAAGAAUGUCAUCAACAAGGUCAACUGCAAGAUCAACUUCUGGGGGAACCUGGACAUGCUUCCCGAACCAGUGCGGCUGGCAGCCCAGAAGCUGAUGGCGAGCACCGCCGAGAACACAGGACUGGUCUUCUCCGUCUGCAUGCCGUACAACUCAACCUCCGAGAUCGCCAACGCCGUCACCGAGCUCUGCAAAGAACGGAGGGAUAUGAUGCAGGGGCAGCAGGCCAGCGGCCGCAAUGGCCGCCCCGCAAAUGACGGCGCACGUUCGGAUAUCUCGGUGGCCGACCUGGAUCACCACAUGUACAGCGCCGGCUGUCCGGACCCGGACAUUGUGAUCCGGACCUCGGGCGAGACCCGGCUGAGCAACUUCCUCCUGUGGCAGACAACGUUUAGUCAUCUGCAGAACCCGGACCCCCUCUGGCCUGAGUUCUCCUGGAGGCACCUCAUCUGGGCGAUACUGCAGUACCAGAGAGCCUACCCGUACAUUGAGCAGAAUAAAGGUCUGGCGAAGAAGCAGCUGUGA
rnacentral:rRNA from 1 species